AUUGAACGCUGGCGGCAUGCCUUACACAUGCAAGUCGAACGGCAGCACGGGGCAACCUGGUGGCGAGUGGCGAACGGGUGAGUAAUGCAUCGGAACGUGCCAUUGAGUGGGGGGAUAACGUAGCGAAAGUUGCGCUAAUACCGCAUAUUCUGUGAGCAGGAAAGCAGGGGACCGCAAGGCCUUGCGCUCUUUGGGCGGCCGAUGUCAGAUUAGCUAGUUGGUGAGGUAACGGCUUACCAAGGCGACGAUCUGUAGCGGGUCUGAGAGGAUGAUCCGCCACACUGGAACUGAGACACGGUCCAGACUCCUACGGGAGGCAGCAGUGGGGAAUUUUGGACAAUGGGCGCAAGCCUGAUCCAGCCAUGCCGCGUGAGUGAAGAAGGCCUC
rnacentral:rRNA from 1 species